AUGGGCCCAACGGAGUGGAUUUCGGCGGGAUGCUGCCCACCGCGAGGCGGCGACUAAUAACUGCCUGGAGCGAGCCGGAGGUCAGGGCGGGACAUGGAAAUUCACAUCGCCUCCGCUCGGUCUGUAAGAGUGGUUUGCUCCUCGAUGUCAGCCCCUCACUGUGCAGUUCCAGAAGGAGGUAGAAUGCCCAUUUGUCAGCUGAGUGAUCAUCUACCAUGCAAGUCUGGCAUACUAAGAUUCUUGGCAGAGAUGGACCGAACAGUGGCUUUGGAUGCAGAAGUAGUGGGCAUGUCAAAUUCCACAUCUACAUGACGGACAAAACUGGAAGGCACUUCCCGGUCAGAGCCAAGCUCUAGGUGACAGAAGAAGCAGUGUGGAUGGCCAGAAGCUGGAAAAAGAGACAAAACAGUCACGAAAGUUGUCUUGCUUUGUUGAGAGAAGAUUGCACCUAGGUAAAAGCAACAACAUGAAACAGCAAGAAACUGAGAAUCUGCCUGGGUGAACUACUUUGCAUCAAGUGUCAGGAUCUUAUCUGUUUUAAUGGCAUUGAAACUCCAUAUGCUGGAGUUUCAGCUCAGUUUAAUUAGUCAGAGUAAAUAAAUUAAAUGAACUGCAAAAAAAUGACUGUCAAUCAGUCCAAUUUGCUUUUAGUGGGUGACAAUUCAAGAUGUAAAUCAACCAUCAUAGGUAAAGAUAUUUUCCUUCUUAUUCUCUGAGUCUAUUUAACAUGCUAAGAACACUGUGGCAUAUCCUUCUAAAAUAUCAUGCAUUGAUAGUAAGUAAAGGUAGAUUUGACAGAUAUCUCAUAUUUAUUUUUGAAAUGGCUAUCCCCAUAUAUUGUGAAAGCAAACAUACUGGAUAACAUUAAACUUU